CUGUUGUAGACGCUGCCCCUGUGCGGGCCUGCCUAUCUUCCUUCUUCAGCCUCGGAUCCUCCCCCUCCGCCGACCCUCGCUACUGUCAUGAGGGAGGCAGAGGCGGUGCGGUAUGACCGCCAAAUUCGGCUAUGGGGCAAAUCGACCCAGCAGCAGCUGAUGCACACAAGCGUCGCGCUGCACGGUGUUGCCGGUGCCGCUGCGGAGGCAGCAAAGAAUUUGGUCCUGGCAGGGGUGCGCGCGGUGGCCGUCGCCGAUGAAGGCCUUGUCACAGAUGCCGACGUGUGCACCAACUACUUGAUGCAGGGCGAGGCGGGAGGCACGCGCGGCGCUCGCGCGCUCGGCGCACUGCAGCGACUGAACCCACACGUUUCGGUGUACGACGCAGUCACCAAACUGGAUGGCUCUUCGGGAACACGGGUGACGAUGGCUGCCGUGAUCACUGAAGAGGACGCCGUACCGCAUGUGCAAGCUGCUUUGCCGUGCGCUGACAUCGUCGCACUGCAUGCCACGUGCGGGCCCACUGUUCUGGCGCUCUUCCUCUAUCGGCGGCUGCCGGCGCACUCGUUGGCAGAGCAGUGGCGUUGCCUCGUGGCAGAACCGAGUCUUUUGGCAGAGAAGCCGCGCGGCUACCAGAGAGCCGUUUUGGCGCUGCACGUGCGUACAGAAGCCGUGUCGCUUGGGUUCGCCGCUGCCGCCGGGAAGGCAUACGAGGUGGUGAGCCGGUUGCAACUCCAGCAGCUGACGGCCGCCGAUGUGCAGGAAGUACUGCAGACCUGUGCGCACGGCGCCGGCUCGGCAGACUGCGUUAGCGACACGAUUGCCGGCGCGUGCAUCGCUCAGCACCUGAUCCGCCAAAUCGGCGCCCUCAACCAGCCGCCGGACGCGCAGUCGUAUCACUGGAUGCUCUGCGAGUGCGGCGCAGAGGUGGAGUGCCUUGUCGGGUUGUAGCGAAGACGAAAGUAACGGUGAACGGCGGCGGCCGUGUGAGUGGGAGUAAGUGUGUGGUGCACGGCACUGAUUCUGAAGGCGAAAGAGCAACACGGCAGAGCGCGGGGGCUUGCCGGCCCCCGCGGCAGAUCGCCCAGCGGCCGCCCCACCAAGCGGGCAGACCAUG
rnacentral:misc_RNA from 1 species